GUAUGUUUAAGCAUAAAAUGAGUCGUUGGUCUAAUGGUUAAGUGUCAAGGAAAUUAUUUUUGAAAUCGAAGUUCAAGUCCUUUCCUUUGCAAUUUUUUGCAUUCCCUUUUUUUUAAACCCUAAUUACUGUAUAGGGUUUUUAAAACCUAGUAUAUAACAUCUUUUUCUCUAUUUUGCUUUCACAUUUCCACCCUUACCCAAUAAUCUAAAAAAAAUUCUCUCAUUCAUCCCUUGUGCCACCCCUCUCCUUAGCCUCCUCUCAGUUUUCUUUUCUUUUCUUUCUUUCUUUUGCUUAUGUUACCACUCUCCUCUGUUACACCACAGCCAUCUCCGCACCUAUUCUCUCUUGCACCACCACUGCUACUGCACCUAUUCCACCCUUUUUCACUACCAUUGCGCCCCUUAGCAUCAUUGUCGCCUUCCUUUUUUUGCCACCUCCCUUACCGUCACUUGUUGUUGCCCCCUUUUUCGUCAUCGCCGCGUCGCCACUAUUUUUUUCUCUUCUCUGUUAGCCUUCAUUUCUUUCAUUUUGGUCGGAUAUUUACUUACUUUUUUCAUUCCAAUCUGUAAGUAAGAAAUGUUAGUGUUUUUCACGAGUAGCUCUCGUGUUCGGAUGUACGAUCAUCUUUUUUUUCUUUCAAAUCUGUUAAUCGGUUAUAUAGGUCCCUUCCCGGAUUUAUCAAUGGCCGAAUCUAAUUGUGUGUUUUUGUGUACGUUUAACAUUCAAGGUAUAGAUUUAGACACUUUAAACCAGAUCUAAUUUGUAGAAGUGGUGUGUUUCAGAUUUGUAAAUCGAAGAAAAAAGUUAAGUGUUCUUCUUUUGUUUAGUAUUCAGAUCUAUAGAUGUUUUCCUAAAUCUAGUAUAAUUGAAUCUAAUAUGGAGUUUUAUGUGUGUUUUUUUAAUUCAAAGUUCAGAUCUAGAUGAGAUCUGGUCAAAUCUGUAACAAAAGAGUGUAGCGGAUUAGAUCUAGUGUUAUUUGGACAUACGAAUUAAGGUGGGGUUCUUCCAAAUGUAAUCUGCAUAUGUCUUAUCCAUAAGUACUAUAGGUAUGUGUUUGAUAGCACCCGUAUGAAUCUAUGCCUUCGUUGUGACUAAACGAAUGCAUGAGUUCCUUUGGUGUUAGCCGAAUGAGAUUUGAGCCCAUCACUAGGAUUGGCUGGAUGUAAGUGUCUUGGACUAUGGCUUCUGUGUUGACUAAAAUUGUGUAUAUUGUUAUCGUAUGUUUUGUUUUGAUUCAUAUGUUUUGUGAUAUUAUGGCAUAAUAUUGUUACCGAUAUUCUGAUAACAUGUUAAAACAUAUUUACUGUCACUAUUUUAUUGAACGCAUGAUGAAAAACAUGCCCACUGUUUCUGUUAAAACUUAUUGCAUGUUGAAGCAUGCCUACUGUAUUGAUUCUAAUUCUGUUAUGGCAUAAUGCAUUGUAUGUUGAUUGGGAUGAUAUGUAAGGAGGAAGUUCUGGUAGUUUAUUUGCAACUACUGGUGGCUUGUCCACAACACGGUGUGUAGGGAUCGAUGAGUUCUAGGGAACUCUUACUGUGAUGUGUAGUAGAUGAUGGGUAGGAAUUUUCUUUGAAUUUUAAAAAAAAUUUGCACUGUUGAACAUGAGCAUGUACAUGCAUGAUACAAUUUAUGUUAUUUUUUAUAUUGUGUUACUACUAGCUUGAUUACUGUUUUAUCCUAUCGUAACUGAAAAAUUUAUGUGUUAAUACUUACACUGACCUCUAUAGCUCAUUCCUUAGUUUACUGUCUCUAUAGAGAAUCCAUGAUAUUAGAAUUUGGACUCGACAUACGGAGGAUCAUCUUGAACUUUUAUUUUAUUUUAAAAAGUACUUUUACUUUAAUAUAUAAAUUUUCAUUUGGGGAUUGUAAUAAUUUAUUUGGAUUGUGGCAUAGGUUAUUUUUGGUUGGUUUUAAAUUACAUUACAUGCAAAAACGUUUGAAAUUGAACAAACUUAUGAUUAUGCUUUAAAAUGCAUGAAACCUAGUUUUAAAUGUAAAAUUGGUUAAAAACUCUUUUUCCACUGUAUAAUUUAAACUGGAUUUCUAAAAAGAUAUUUUAAUCCGAAAAUUUACAAAGUUUUCAAAAAUACAAAAUCUUUACAAAUUAGUCUCUAGAUUUUAAACUAGUUAAAUAGAAUUUUUUUGUUUUUUUUGUAAAAUUUAAUAUCAACUAAAAUUUCCAAAUGGCAUAAGAGUUUUUACAAGAUAACUUCUAAUUCAAUUUGGUUAAAGCCCAAUAAUUUUUAUUGAAUUAAGAAAAUUACUCAAACGUAUUUUUCGUAGGAUAAGCAAAUGAUUUCAAAAGUAAACUUUUGGAUUUGAUUAUUUUACUAGGCCAUUAUUGUGACCUAUGUGACCUUCAGAAUCCGAACGUAACGUCUACGUCGGGUCAAGGAGGUUACAUUUGUCGGUAUCAAAGCCAAGUUCAAAACUCAUAUUGUGGUUUUUGUUUAGGUCUAGAUGCAUAUUUUAAAAGGGCUAUUUGGGAAAACCAUGCCACAAGUGAUUUUUUUUAUAAAUAUUUUCAAAAAAUAAAUUUCGAGACUCCGAUGUCUUUUCUAACUUAGUUACUGUUAAUACUAAAACUAUAGACAAACUUUAGACUAUAAAUACUCAAGAAGUAACUAGGUAUUUUAUUUUUGAACUUUAUAUCUAUGUUAGACGUUACAUAUUCGGGCAUUCAUUAUGAGCACCCGAGGUAGAUGACCUCGAGGUAGGGCACAUUGAGUUGCUUCUGUUGAGCCACCACCAGCUCAGGACAACACUCCAAUUCUCGAGGUUGAUUAUAGAGAAGAUUCAUUUACUACUAGAGAUAAAAAAUUUCACAGGGGUGAUGAUGCAGUAUCGCAAGUGAUAUUGACGGUUCUUCAGAGGGUGGUUGAAGCCUAAACUGGAUUUGGGAACCAAUAUUUUGUGACUAAAAGGCUUCAAUCUAACAAAGCUGAGUUAUUCAGAGGUGUAGUUGGGACAACCCCGAAUGUAACCGAAUAUUGGAUGAAGGCUACUGAGAGGAUUUUGGAUGACAUGGACUCUACUCUAGAACAAAAACUGAAAAAUAUUAUGUUAUUGUUGAAGGAUAAGGCCUACCAAUGGUGGCAGUAUGUUGUGAGAGGUACACUGACUGAAUGAUUGACUUAGGAGUACUUCCAUGAGGCCUUCCAAAAAAAGUAUGUAGGUAGGAGGUAUGUUGAGGCACGUAAACAUGAGUUCAUCGAGCUAAAAUAGAGGGAUAUGAUUGUGGCUGAGUUUGAAUUUGAAUUUUUAAGGAUUAAUCAUUAUGCUUCGUGUAUGAUUUCCACUGAGCAAAAUAAGAGCCUGAGGUUUGAGGAUAGGCUGAGGUAUUGUAACAGCUUGUUUUUAGGGUUAAUCGGAACAGCAGUAUUGAGACCACAAUCUGACAUUGAAAAAUUUGUUUUUAUUAUUAUUUUAAUAUUUACAGCAUGAUAUUAGAGUUGUGUGAAAUUUUCGUAAAGAAAAUUUAUCGUUUAAGUGGUUAAUUCGGUAAAAAGGACUAAAUUGCGUAAAGAGUAAAAGUUGUGUUCUAUAAGCUAAAGGUGUCAAAUAGCUAUAGAACUUAAAAUUGAAGGUCCUUAUAUGGUAAAUAGCCCAUUUAUGAGAUAUUGGAUGUUAGUGGAGUGGCAUUUGGUGUAUUUAUUAAUGUUUUUAAAGGGAAAAAAGGUAAAUAGGUAAUUUAAGUUAAUAAAAAAUAAAAAUAAAAGCCAAAAUCAUGUUAUAUUCCUUCAUCUUCCACCGAAUAUAGAGAAAAUAAAUAUCCAUGGAAGAAUUUGAGGGUUCGGCCCUUGUUGUUUUUAAUUGAGGUAUGUUUCGAGCUCAAUUUUUGAUGAUUUUUAUGUUUUUGUGAUCGUUGCUUCGUGUUCUAACUAGCCCGUACCCUAAUUUUUGAAUUUUUUGAUCAAUUUUUGAGUUUCCAUUGAUGAUAUCUUGAUGUUUUUGAGUGUUGAUGAUGGAAAAUGAAUAAUUGUUGAUAGAUUAAUAUAUUUUGUUAAGUGAUUUUUGGUAAAAAUGUCAAAUAAGGAUUAAAUUGUGAAAAGUGUAAAUUGAGGGGUUAAAAUGUGAAAUAAAUUGAAAAAAUGGGUUGAUAGUAAUAAAUGGAAACUUCGGCUAGCUUGGAUUUGUGUUUAAUUUCAUGAAAUUGUGAUUUUAUGUGAUAAGGACUAAAUUACAAAAAUAUGGAAUAAUAGUGGCAAAAGUGUAAUUUUUCCAAAAUGUGUAAAUUGUGUUAAAUUGAAUGAAUUAAUGAUUAAAUAAGUAAAUUUUGUUAUUAUACAGAUUGAGAAAAAUGAUAUUCGAAUCUAGAACGGGAGAAAACAAAGUAUCGGACUAGUCGAUCUAUUUCGUCGUUUUAACGAUUGAGUGUUUUGGACGUUCGCUCAGGUUGGAAGUCAACGGAGAUUGCAUCACACUAUCAGGCUAUUGAUUUUCGAUAUUUUUACACUUUGUGGCUUGGUUAUAUGGCAUGUAUAGGCUAUGGCCUCUUUGAUAUGGUUGUUGGAAAUGUAUAUGGUCAUUUGAAAUGGCUUAUUAAUGAUUUUGGUUUAUGGUUAUAAGGUGGCCUUAUGUUUUGGCACGAUUGGUAUAAAAUGUGUAUUUGGCCUAUGCUAUGUAUAUGUGUUUUGGCUUGGAAUGCAAAUGUGGUAAUAAUGUGGUUUAAGAAA